UAAUAAAUUUUCAUCCGCUAGAAACUAGUUCGAGGGCAAAAACUUACUAACAGUAAUAAAGUAUAUGACAAAUAUUAUACAAAAUCCUCACUCUCUUCCCCCCUUCCCUCCACUGCACUCCCUUUUUCACACAGAAGAAAUAAAAAGAAAUGACAACAAAAAGAAACAAACCACCUUUUCUGACCCACCAUAGCCAAAUCAGUAGGCUAGGAACAAUGAAUCCAAUGCAAACAACUUAUAGCUCUGCUGCUCAGGUUUUAGUCCAAUCAGGAAUUAGUUCAUUAAAGAAACGAGCAAAACCAGUAAAUACAAUGAAACCAAGAUACACCUGCGAUGAUUACCUUUCCUUUCGUCUCCUUUUUAGUGCUUA
rnacentral:misc_RNA from 1 species